GGACAACCAGUUGAUAUUCUGGUACCGCGUUAUGACCGCCCAUGCUGAAGUCAUUGUGCUAACCAAUUUGCUCACGCCGCUUCCAUGCCUUCGGGCGUGUUGGUGUGUGUGGGUCUUGGGGCCCCGGUGAUGGUAGGCAAGCGUGUUAACAGGGGUGACGCAGACAGGUAGCUGCAGUGCGCCGAUGGUUGUGCGUAUUUAAGGUUGUGGCCCGUUCCUCAGGUAAAUCCGGGGGCAUUGUGGGUGAGAACUGAUGAGGGACACACGCGUGUGUGGACUUGUGGUGAUCCUAAGCUGCCGAGAAAAGCCUCGACGUGAGGGCAUAACGCGCCCGUACCCUAAACCGACUCAGGUGGUCAGGUAGAGUAUACCGAGGCGUUCGAGUGAAUCGUGGUUAAGGAACUCGGCAAAAUUCCUCCGUAACUUCGGGAUAAGGAGGACCCCGUGACUUCCCUCCGUCAUGCGCGGUGGUGGGGUUGUGGGGUCGCAGAGAAUAGGGAGAAGCGACUGUUUAUCAAAAACACAGGUGCGUGCGAAGCCGUAAGGCGAUGUAUACGCACUGACGCCUGCCCGGUGCUGGAAGGUUAAGAGAACCGUCAACAACCCCUUUGUGGUUGUGAAGCGGUGAAUUUAAGCCCCAGUAAACGGCGGUGGUAACUAUAACCAUCCUAAGGUAGCGAAAUUCCUUGUCGGGUAAGUUCCGACCUGCACGAAUGGCGUAACGACUUCUCCGCUGUCUCAACCGCGAACUCGGUGAAAUUGCAGUACGAGUAAAGAUGCUCGUUUCGCGCAGAAGGACGGAAAGACCCCGGGACCUUUACUAUAGCUUGGUAUUGGUGUUCGCUUGGACUUGUGUAGGAUAGGUGGGAGACUGUGAAGGCGCCGCGCCAGCGGUGGUGGAGUCGUCGUUGAAAUACCAUUCUGGUUCAAGCGGUCACCUCAACCUAGACCCGUGAUCCGGGUUGGGGACAGUGCCUGGUGGGUAGUUUAACUGGGGCGGUUGCCUCCUAAAAAGUAACGGAGGCGCUCAAAGGUUCCCUCAGCCUGGUUGGUAAUCAGGUGGCGAGUGCAAGUGUACAAGGGAGCUUGACUGUGAGACCGACGGGUCGAGCAGGUGCGAAAGCAGGAACUAGUGAUCCGGCCAUGGCACGUGGGUGCGUGGUCGCUCAACGGAUAAAAGGUACCCCGGGGAUAACAGGCUGAUCUUGCCCAAGAGUCCAUAUCGACGGCAUGGUUUGGCACCUCGAUGUCGGCUCGUCGCAUCCUGGGGCUGGAGUUGGUCCCAAGGGUUGGGCUGUUCGCCCAUUAAAGCGGUACGCGAGCUGGGUUCAGAACGUCGUGAGACAGUUCGGUCCCUAUCCUCUGUGCGCGCAGGAAACUUGAGAAGGGCCGUCCCUAGUACGAGAGGACCGGGAUGGACGAACCUCUGGUGUGCCAGUUGUACCGCCAGGUGCAUGGCUGGUUAGCUACGUUCGGAAGGGAUAACCGCUGAAAGCAUCUAAGCGGGAAGCCUGCUUCAAGAUGAGGUUUCCACGCCCCCCCGUGGGGUGAGAGGCCCCCGCCAGACUAGCGGGUCGAUAGGCCAGAGGUGGAAGCACAGCAAUGUGCUCGAGAGCCGACUGGUACUAAUUGGCCAACACUAAACAAC
rnacentral:rRNA from 2 species